rnacentral:rRNA from 1 species
AACGCGUAUCCAACCUGCCCACCACUUGGGGAUAACCUUGCGAAAGUAAGACUAAUACCCAAUGAUAUCUCUAGAAGACAUCUGAAAGAGAUUAAAGAUUUAUCGGUGAUGGAUGGGGAUGCGUCUGAUUAGCUUGUUGGCGGGGUAACGGCCCACCAAGGCAACGAUCAGUAGGGGUUCUGAGAGGAAGGUCCCCCACAUUGGAACUGAGACACGGUCCAAACUCCUACGGGAGGCAGCAGUGAGGAAUAUUGGUCAAUGGACGAGAGUCUGAACCAGCCAAGUAGCGUGCAGGAAGACGGCCCUAUGGGUUGUAAACUGCUUUUAUAAGGGAAUAAAGUUAGUCUCGUGAGACUUUUUGCAUGUACCUUAUGAAUAAGGACCGGCUAAUUCCGUGCCAGCAGCCGCGGUAAUACGGAAGGUCCGGGCGUUAUCCGGAUUUAUUGGGUUUAAAGGGAGCGUAGGCCGGAGAUUAAGCGUGUUGUGAAAUGUAGACGCUCAACGUCUGCACUGCAGCGCGAACUGGUUUCCUUGAGUACGCACAAAGUGGGCGGAAUUCGUGGUGUAGCGGUGAAAUGCUUAGAUAUCACGAAGAACUCCGAUUGCGAAGGCAGCUCACUGGAGCGCAACUGACGCUGAAGCUCGAAAGUGCGGGUAUCGAACAGGAUUAGAUACCCUGGUAGUCCGCACGGUAAACGAUGGAUGCCCGCUGUUGGUCUGAAUAGGUCAGCGGCCAAG